rnacentral:rRNA from 1 species
AUACGUAGGUGACAAGCGUUAUCCGGAUUUACUGGGCGUAAAGGGCGUGUAGGCGGUCUUGCAAGUCAGAAGUGAAAUUCCUGAGCUCCACUCGGGCGCUGCUUCUGAAACUGCAGGACUUGAGUGCUGGAGGGGAUAGCGGAAUUCCUAGUGGAGCGGUAAAAUGCGCAGAUAUUAGGAAGAACACCGGUGGCGAAGGCGGCUAUCUGGACAGUAACUGACGCUGAGGCGCGAAAGCGUGGGGAGCAAACAGGAUUAGAUACCCUGGUAGUCCACGCUGUAAACGAUGAAUACUAGGUGUGGGGGGACUGACCCCCUCCGUGCCGCAGUUAACACAAUAAGUAUUCCACCUGGGGAGUACGAUCGCAAGAUUGAAACUCAAAUGAAUUGACGGGG